GUGGGGAAUAUUGGACAAUGGGCGAAAGCCUGAUCCAGCCAUGCCGCGUGUGUGAAGAAGGUCUUCGGAUUGUAAAGCACUUUAAGUUGGGAGGAAGGGCAGUAAGUUAAUACCUUGCUGUUUUGACGUUACCGACAGAAUAAGCACCGGCUAACUUCGUGCCAGCAGCCGCGGUAAUACGAAGGGUGCAAGCGUUAAUCGGAAUUACUGGGCGUAAAGCGCGCGUAGGUGGUUUUGUAAGUUGGAGGUGAAAUCCCCGGGCUCAACCUGGGAACUGCCUCCAAAACUGCAUGACUAGAGUACUGUAGAGGGUAGUGGAAUUUCCUGUGUAGCGGUGAAAUGCGUAGAUAUAGGAAGGAACACCAGUGGCGAAGGCGACUACCUGGACUGAUACUGACACUGAGGUGCGAAAGCGUGGGGAGCAAACAGGAUUAGAAACCCGGGUAGUCC
rnacentral:rRNA from 1 species